rnacentral:misc_RNA from 1 species
GAUGAAGAACGUAGCGAAAUGCGAUAAGUAAUGUGAAUUGCAGAAUUCAGUGAAUCAUCGAAUCUUUGAACGCAUCUUGCGCUCCUUGGUAUUCUGAGGAGCAUGCCUGUUUGAGUGUCAUUAAAUUCUCAACUACACUGACUUUGAAUUGGUGUGGCUUGGAUUUGGGGGGAAAAUUGUUGUGGGCUUUUUGUAUAGUCUGCUCACCUGAAAUUGAUUAGCGGUACCUUUGUGGAACUGUCUACAGGUGUGAUAAUUAUCUACAUCUUAGACAUCUGCUGGAAUGCUGCUUUCUAAACCUUACUUGUAUUGACAAUCUUGACCUCAAAUCAGGUAGGACUACCCGCUGAACUUAAGCAUAUCAAUAAGCGGAGGA